rnacentral:rRNA from 1 species
UACGUAGGUGGCAAGCGUUGUCCGGAUUUACUGGGCGUAAAGAGCGCGCAGGCGGUCGUUCAAGUCGAGUGUGAAAGCCCCCCGGCUCAACUGGGGAGGGUCACUCGAUACUGAUCGACUCGAAGGCAGGAGAGGGAAGCGGAAUUCCCGGUGUAGUGGUGAAAUGCGUAGAUAUCGGGAGGAACACCAGUGGCGAAGGCGGCUUUCUGGCCUGUUCUUGACGGCUGAGGCGCGAAAGCUAGGGUAG